AGCAGCCGCGGUAAUUCCAGCUCCAAUAGCGUAUAUUAAAGUUGUUGCAGUUAAAAAGCCCGUAGUUGAAUUUCGGGGUUAGUAGGUUGGUCAUGCCUCUGGUAUGUACUGGUCUCACUGAUUCCUCCUUCCUUAUGAACCGUAAUGCCAUUAAUUUGGUGUUGCGGGGAAUUUGGACUGUUACUUUGAAAAAAUUAGAGUGUUUAAAGCAAGCUAACGCUUGAAUACAUUAGCAUGGAAUAAUGAAAUAGGACGUUCGAUCUUAUUUUGUUGGUUUCUAGGAUUGACGUAAUGAUUAAUAGGGAUAGUUGGGGGCAUUAGUAUUCAAUUGUCAGAGGUGAAAUUCUUGGAUUUAUUGAAGACUAACUACUGCGAAAGCAUUUGCCAAGGAUGUUUUCAUUAAUCUAAGAACGAAAGUUAGGGGAUCGAAGACGAUCAGAUACCGUCGUAGUCUUAACCACAAACUAUGCCGACUAGGGAUCGGAUGAUGUUAAUUUUUUUAAUAGUACUCAUUCGGCGC
rnacentral:rRNA from 1 species